CAGUCGCCGCGGGAAUACGUAGGGUGCGAGCGUUAAUCGGAAUUACUGGGCGUAAAGCGUGCGCAGGCGGUUCGUUAAGACAGAUGUGAAAUCCCCGGGCUUAACCUGGGAACUGCAUUUGUGACUGGCGAGCUAGAGUAUGGCAGAGGGGGGUAGAAUUCCACGUGUAGCAGUGAAAUGCGUAGAGAUGUGGAGGAAUACCGAUGGCGAAGGCAGCCCCCUGGGCCAAUACUGACGCUCGUGCACGAAAGCGUGGGGAGCAAACAGGAUUAGAUACCCGGGUAGUCCCUGUCUCUUAUAC
rnacentral:rRNA from 1 species